UCCCCGUUGCCGGGGCAGUCUGAUUAGAAAAAUACAACUAAUCACAAGGGUUGCGCUCGUUAAUGGACUUAACCAAACAUCUCACGACACGAGCUGACGACGGCCAUGCAGCACCUGUCACUUGGCUCAAUAAAGCACUCUCGCCUUUCGGCAAAAUUCCAAGGAUGUCAAACCCUGGUAAGGUUCUUCGUUUAUCAUCGAAUUAAAGAACAUGAUCCACCGCUUGUGCGGCUCCCCGUCAAUUCCUUUAUGUUUUAGUCUUGCGACCGUACUCCACAGGCGGGAUACUUAACGCGUUAGCUUCGCUACUGGGGGGGUCGAUACCCCCAACAGCUAGUAUCCAUAGUUUACGGCGUGGACUAC
rnacentral:misc_RNA from 1 species